GACGGGUAUCCGGCCUGAGAGGGUGAUCGGACACACUGGAACUGAGACACGGUCCAGACUCCUACGGGAGGCAGCAGUAGGGAAUAUUGCUCAAUGGGGGAAACCCUGAAGCAGCAACGCCGCGUGGAGGAUGAAGGUUUUAGGAUUGUAAACUCCUUUUGUGAGAGAAGAUUAUGACGGUACCUCACGAAUAAGCACCGGCUAACUCCGUGCCAGCAGCCGCGGUAAUACGGAGGGUGCAAGCGUUACUCGGAAUCACUGGGCGUAAAGAGUGCGCAGGCGGGGUGGUAAGUCAGAUGUGAAAUCCUGUAGCUUAACUACAGAACUGCAUUUGAAACUAUCACUCUA
rnacentral:rRNA from 1 species